rnacentral:rRNA from 1 species
UACGAAGGGGGCUAGCGUUGCUCGGAAUCACUGGGCGUAAAGCGCACGUAGGCGGAUUCUUAAGUCAGGGGUGAAAUCCUGGAGCUCAACUCCAGAACUGCCUUUGAUACUGAGGGUCUUGAGUUCGGGAGAGGUGAGUGGAACUGCGAGUGUAGAGGUGAAAUUCGUAGAUAUUCGCAAGAACACCAGUGGCGAAGGCGGCUCACUGGCCCGAUACUGACGCUGAGGCGCGAAAGCGUGGGGAGCAAACAGG